rnacentral:lncRNA from 1 species
CACCUGACCAAUAUCCACCACACACAUCCAUAUUCCUCCAGGGCUAAGGGGGCCAGAAGGGGUUUACAGUGGUCCACUCCUGAAUGGAGAGGACAGCAGCAGCCUGGGCUGGUUUGCUUCUUCCCAUAGGGGAAAUUGGUGUUACAUGGCUUUCUCAGUGCUGGCACAGUGUAGGGAGUCAUGUAUGGCUCCAGCCAGGACAAUGCUAUGAAGCUGCCUGAGGAACACAUGGACUCCCAGACCUACAGCUCCCUGUGAGUGAGAUGGGGAAGUAGCUGUAGCAAACUCAAACCAGGGAGAGAACAAAUAUGAGGAGAGCUGAGCUCAGUUCUGCAGGUUGACAAGUCUGCAGAGCUUUGUGUAGCACAUGGAAAUCUACCCCAGUUACAGCUCUGGUGUAAGCCAACAGCCUGAGUGGCUGCUGCUCCCAGAAGUAACCAUUCUAGAGACUUCUGUGAUGUCAUUGCACAAUAGCAAACUGCUUGGGACAGUAUUACUUUGUUCAAGUAGCACUUGUAUGCCAAACAAAAAACUAACUGUCCAAUGUUCAGAUGGAUUUCCUCUGGAAGGGCCAGGAUGCUGUACAGUUGCCAUUCACACCUCUCAUGCCUCCAAAAUCUGGGUGAUGAAAAACCCUACAGAGAUAGGAAAAGAAAAAAUCACAACUGACGAGACACAGAAUGACAAAACAAAGCUCUCUUCCCUGUCCUUAGGAGAAAAUUGUAGCUGCCUGCUCCAGUCCUUGCCUGUGGGAAGAAAAAAAAGAAGGUUCAGAAGUAAGGGCUAAAUGUUAUAAAGACAAGAAGCAGCAGCAACUGAGGAGCAAGGCCAGACUGGACAUACGGCACUGCUUUGUACACUUAAGCUGUGCAAGCAAGGUGAACUCAACCAUUAUAUUAAAAAAACCAAACAAUCAAAACCAACAACAACAACAAAGUCACAAACUUUCAGCAGCAGUGUUGAAUUUGUGAGGAAACAAUCUAAUCCUCCAAACCCCCAACUUAGACUACCCAUCAGGCAAGGCUCCCAGGCAAAAACCUGGUAAUGCUUUGAAUAAAUUCCACAUUAAUGGACUAGAGUAAAAGCA